UACGUAGGGUGCAAGCGUUAAUCGGAAUUACUGGGCGUAAAGCGCGCGCAGGCGGUCCCUUAAGUCUGAUGUGAAAGCCCACGGCUCAACCGUGGAGGGUCAUUGGAAACUGGGGGACUUGAGUACAGAAGAGGAAAGCGGAAUUCCACGUGUAGCGGUGAAAUGCGUAGAGAUGUGGAGGAACACCAGUGGCGAAGGCGGCUUUCUGGUCUGUAACUGACGCUGAGGCGCGAAAGCGUGGGGAGCAAACAGG
rnacentral:rRNA from 1 species